AGGAUUCUCCUAGUAACGGCGAGUGAACGGAGAUUAGUCCAUCGCCGAAGACUGGUAUUCUUAUACACAAGUCACUGUGGCGUUUAGGUCUGUGCCUGGGACUAAGUACCUACCCGAAGUCCAAUUUCGAUUGUGGCAUUGGAUAAUCCCCAGAGAGGGUGAAAGGCCCUUACGGGUAGGCUGUUGUUUUAUUAUGCUUAGUCCUCAGAUGCACAGGCUUUCGAGUCGGAUUGCUUGAGAAUGCAGUCCAAAGUGGGUGGUAAACUCCAUCCAAGACUAAAUACUGGCACGAGUCCGAUAGUAGACAAGUACCGUGAGGGAAAGUUGAAAAGUACUCUGAAGAGAGAGUUAAUAGUACGUGAAGCCAAAUUAAGGGAAGCUGGUGGAGUCAAGCUUCGUGCUUGGAAAAUUGUUGGAGGUAUUUGUUUAUUGUGAUUAUGAGUGAUUAAUUGGUCAAUAUGGAAAGUAUUGGGCAUAUUCGCGUAUGCUUCAAGACAUUCUGGGUUGUGUGUUUGCGGCCAGUUACUAUCAUUCUAAUGCCUUCGAUCUAUUUUUCAAUUUUGCACAGAUCACAGUCAGUGAUAUUGCGCUAUGUGAUAGUCUAACAAUGUUUUGGUGAGCUUUCAGUUUGCCAGGCAUUGGAUGGCAGGUGUCGAUCCUCGGGCCUUGUGUUCGUUGUGUCGAUUAAGUCGGUUUCGAUCGGCUGAUUAUCAUGUAUGUGUCAAUUGUUACUGUUCUUUAAUGGAUUGUCGUAGUGAUACUGCAGUCCGGUAAGAACUGUGAUCCUGAGGUAGA
rnacentral:rRNA from 1 species